UGCCUAUUUAGUUUUGGUUGAGAGAGACUCUCGGGAGGUACCACAUAAUGACUUUGUGUUGGGGGGCAGGGGUGCUAUUUCUGUUGUCCUAGGGAUUAGUGGGGAGUAUUUGUGUGUGGGCUGAGGCCUGAUCGAGACUCUUUGAGAGAUAGUGGUUAAUUCACAGUGCCAGCAGCCGCGGUUAUUCUGUUAACUUUGUCUCUUUGUCGGUUUAAAUGGUUUGUGGAUGAGAGGGAUAAGGGGUAGAAUCUUUAUUUUACGGUUAUUCUUCCGCAGUUUGAUUAAGGGGCUAUUCAGGAGAUGGGGAUUAGAGACCCCCGUAUCGAGUAGGUUACUUUGUGCUCCCAUAGUCUAAACUAAAAAAACUUGGCAGCUGAUGAGAUUCUUCCGGGGGAGUGUGUGCUGUAAGAGAUAGUCCGCUUAGUUAUUUGCCGUCCCCAGUUAAGUUAGUGUAUAUCCGGCUCAACAUUCGUGGUUUAUGCUAGGAGUGGAUUUAGGAUUAGUUAAGUCAGGUCUAUGUGCUGCUUAUGGGAUGGGGGUCAUGCACUACUUUUUAUAAAAUGUCUCUCUACGUUGGUCGGGGAUAAAUUAAGGACUCGGAAGUAGGUUUGAUUGUGAGGUUGGAUCGAAGUUGAUUUAGUCGGGGUACACACCGCCCGUCACCCAUGGUGUUUAGCUUUGGUAAGUCGUAACAUGGUAAUACUGGGGGAACCGGGUAUUAGUUCAGUGGGGCGUGUGUUUCCUCUGCUGUUAAUGGCUUCU
rnacentral:rRNA from 1 species